rnacentral:rRNA from 1 species
GGGUUGUGAGGUUAAGCGACCAAGCGUACACGGUGGAUGCCCUGGCAGUCAGAGGCGAUGAAGGACGUGCUAAUCUGCGAAAAGCGCCGGUAAGGUGAUAUGAACCGUUAUAACCGGCGAUGUCCGAAUGGGGAAACCCAGUGUGACUCGUCACACUAUCAUUAACUGAAUCCAUAGGUUAAUGAGGCGAACCGGGGGAACUGAAACAUCUAAGUACCCCGAGGAAAAGAAAUCAACCGAGAUUCCCCCAGUAGCGGCGAGCGAACGGGGAGGAGCCCAGAGCCUGAAUCAGCAUGUGUGUUAGUGGAAGCGUCUGGAAAGGCGCGCGAUACAGGGUGAGAGCCCCGUACACAAAAGCGCACAUGCUGUGAGCUCGAUGAGUAGGGCGGGACACGUGGUAUCCUGUCUGAAUAUGGGGGGACCAUCCUCCAAGGCUAAAUACUCCUGACUGACCGAUAGUGAACCAGUACCGUGAGGGAAAGGCGAAAAGAACCCCGGCGAGGGGAGUGAAACAGAACCUGAAACCGUGUACGUACAAGCAGUGGGAGCCUCUCUUUAUGGGGGGUGACUGCGUACCUUUUGUAUAAUGGGUCAGCGACUUAUAUUCUGUAGCAAGGUUAACCGCAUAGGGGAGCCGAAGGGAAACCGAGUCUUAA